CCCCCCGGGGGUUUCCCACCAGGAUUCGGUAGGGGACCUUGGGGAAGGAUCAUUACUGAUUUGCUUAAUUGCACCACAUGUGUUUUUUAUUGAACAAAUUUCUUUGGUGGCGGGAGCAAUCCUACCGCCAGAGGUUAUAACUAAACCAAACUUUUUAUUUACAGUCAAACUUGAUUUAUUAUUACAAUAGUCAAAACUUUCAACAACGGAUCUCUUGGUUCUCGCAUCGAUGAAGAACGCAGCGAAAUGCGAUACGUAAUAUGAAUUGCAGAUAUUCGUGAAUCAUCGAAUCUUUGAACGCACAUUGCGCCCUUUGGUAUUCCAAAGGGCAUGCCUGUUUGAGCGUCAUUUCUCCCUCAAACCCCCGGGUUUGGUGUUGAGCAAUACGCUAGGUUUGUUUGAAAGAAUUUAACGUGGAAACUUAUUUUAAGCGACUUAGGUUUAUCCAAAACGCUUAUUUUGCUAGUGGCCACCACAAUUUAUUUCAUAACUUUGACCUCAAAUCAGGUAGGACUACCCGCUGAACUUAAGCAUAUCAAUAAGCGGAAGAACUGGGUGAAAUU
rnacentral:rRNA from 1 species